UACGAAGGGGGCUAGCGUUGCUCGGAAUUACUGGGCGUAAAGGGCGCGUAGGCGGACAGUUUAGUCAGAGGUGAAAGCCCAGGGCUCAACCUUGGAAUUGCCUUUGAUACUGGCUGUCUUGAGUUCGGGAGAGGUGAGUGGAAUGCCGAGUGUAGAGGUGAAAUUCGUAGAUAUUCGGCGGAACACCAGUGGCGAAGGCGACUCACUGGCCCGAUACUGACGCUGAGGCGCGAAAGCGUGGGGGGCAAACAGG
rnacentral:rRNA from 1 species